UUUUUUUUUUUUUUUAAUGAUGAUUGUAGAUAUAACAUUCUAAAAAAUAUUUAUUUUUGUACGACUUAAGUAAAUGUGCUUCUACUGACCAAAGAAAAGCAUGUAAUUUAGGUACUAGGAUUUUUAAAGUUUACAUUCUCUAAUUCAUGGAAAGUUAAUUUAUAUAUGUGUUUUAAGUAAUUUGAUAAAAAAUUGUUUGUAAAAUCAACAAGUUACAUAUAUAAUCUAUUAAUUGCAAUUAGGACUGAUAUCCUUUUUUUGGUAAGUGGAAGAUUUUGAAGUUAGAAUUUCCUACUUACAAUGCCUUUCACCUUAUCAUCCAACCCAACUUUCCCCCCGGUGACAGUACGAUUUCUUGUAUGUUCUUACGUAAUUCUAUGCACAUGAAUUUCUAUCAUUGGCAUACUAUUAAAAAUUUUCAUCCUAAAAAAUUUAAGAAAAAAAAAGAAGAAAGCUACAAAGUGGCCAUUUCAAAUUAGCCAUUCGGUCCACAAGACUCAACUUAGCUGCUAGAGAUAUUACCCGGUCGACUGUGAUAUCUUUGAUUCGACUUUUAAACUCUCUCUUUUCCCUUUUCUAUUUUUCUUAUAAAAUUUGGAGUCUCCUAUUAAAUUGAAAAAAGUAGAAAAGCUAUGAAUGAUGUACAAACUACAUUAAACCUAAACGGUCACAGGGCGUUUCCAGGAUUCAAGUGGGCCUCCAUUCCAUUAUCGUGGCUAUUUGAAGGCCGUGAAGGAAGUUCAGGAUUUUGCUUCCCUACAAAAAGCCGCUAUAGGCCCAAACCAAUAAGCCACUCCUAAAUUUUAAUUUCUCCCGCCAAAGCAAGCACGCAAAUCGAAUUUAAAAUGGAAAUCAGCAAAACAAAAAAAAAAAAAAAACGUAGAAAAAUUCCCCAAAUUAGAACUCUGCUCCAUCCUUCUUCUCUCUCUAAAAUCUUGUCCUGUAAGUUUUUCAGUGACCAAGUCUUGUUCCCCUUCCAGAUUCAUCUCCCCAGCAGCAAUUAUCCACUGCUUCUGCUGCAGUUGGACUAAUUGCAGAUUUCCCCCCUCCCCCGGGGAUUGGAAGGGUUUGGAAUUUGGAAUAUUGUGAGUGUUUGGAAAGCAAAGCAAGCAAGAGAUGAUUCCCUCGAAAAUCUUCGACGGAGUCCAUUUUGUUCUCGUAGGAUUCGAUUCCAUUUCACACCAACAGGUCCGUUCUUUUCCCCAAUCCCCAUGUCUGUGCUAUUUACUAUUUUCUUCAGAGAUGUUUUGGGACUUUUCUUUAAAAAAAAAUUAUACUGUAACACUUUUCCUGAUUUGACGGCAGUUGGAAAGGGAACAAAGGUGUUUGAAAGACGUAUUUAUGAUGAAGUUGAAAAAAGAAAGAAUUUGUAUAGAAUAGAGCUAUCCGAACAAUCCCAAUACUGCUGCAGUACUGAACAUUCUUAUUCCAAUCCGUUGAAUUAUAUUUGGACAAAUUUUGGUAGGUUCGGUCCAGGAUGGUAGAAGCCGGUGGUGUUGAUGUUGGUCGUUACGGUCCUGAUUGCACUCACGUGAUUGUCGAUAAAGCUGUUUACGUGAGUUCCCUGGACUUCUUCUUGUUAUUGCUGCUGUCGUCGUGAUUUUUAGCCAUAUAGCUUUGGUUUUGUACCUUCUUGAGUGUUAGUGAAAUUAUUCUUUUUUUGAAAGCCUUUAGCGGAACGCAAUUGAACGUCCUCAUCUUUGGUGGAUGCAGGAUGAUCCUAUCUGUGUGGCUGCUCGAAGCGAUGGCAAGACAUUGGUCACUGCCUUGUGGGUUUACCACAGUUUUGACGUGGGAAUGCCUGUUGACCCUGCCUUGGUCAGCAUCUAUUUCGUCCCAGUUUACCCUUUUUCCGACUGCAUUUUUUGGCUUCUUCUAAAGUUGCAUUUUCUUUCUACAUUUUUGCAUUUAAUUGCCAUUCAAGAUCCUAUAUUUUUCCAGCUUUUGUUGAUAACUGUUGAAUAUUGUGUGGCACAAGUUACUUUUCAGGGCUUACGUGGUACAGUCACUAAGCCUGCUCAUAGUUUUGGCUCCACCACUGCUAACCUGACUAAUAUGUACAAUCCCAAUUGCUUAUUGUCAUUUAAUUAUCACAAAAAGAUGUAGUUUUCAGUUUUUAUUCUCCUUGUUCUUCUGAGUUAACACUUUUUAGCUGUUUUCUUGCAGAUAAUGUACAGACCUUUAAGAGAUCUAACUGGAAUUCCAGGUGCCAAAUCCUUGGUUGUUUGCUUGACUGGUUACCAGGGUCAUGAACGAGAUGAUAUUAUGGUUUGCUACUGCUUUGAGUCUUUUUGUUUCUGAUAAAGUAGCUGUUCAUGAGAUAAUAUUAUGGUCUGCUACUGAUUUUGAGCUCCUUAUUUCUGAUAAAGUAGCUCUUUAUAUUGUCCCAGAAUCCAAGUUAAAUUAUUUACGGAGAUGACCUCGGUUGUAGAUAGUUCAUGAUUUACCACAAAAUGAUGUUUUAAUGUGUGCUUCUUCUCUAUAUCAGGUUAUGGUUGAUUUGAUGGGUGCAAAUUUUUCAAAACCUUUGGUAGCAAACAAGGUUACACAUCUUAUAUGCUACAAAUUUGAAGGUGGGUUAUUUCUGCAUAUGAUGACAAUUUUUCAACUUUUAACAUGGUAAAUCUGGCUUAUAACAUUUUUAGAAUUCUUCAGUUAAUAUGUUUUCUCUCUUAAGGACAUUUUUAGAGUUCGUCAGUUAAAUCUGGUUCAUAUUUGGUUUCUUAUUGCAAUCGAUUGAAGUUUCAUGUUGCUAAGUAAAGGUUCUUGCAGUCUUCUCCUGCAUUAGUUCUGAUCUCUCACCAGAGAAAAGCAGCAACCCUCCUUUUUUUGGGGUCCAUCUUUGUCAAAGCAGCUACCUAAAUGUUUUAAUGCUGUGCUGCACUUUCAACCCUAGACUCAUAUCUUAGGUUAUCUUUCUCUUUGCUGGCUGGUACAUUCUGCAUAAAUUCAGUUAAUGUUAUGUCAUUGGUUUUCUAUUGAAGAUGAAUGUUGUAUUAUAAAAAUGCAAUUUUGCUGAAUUUUAUUCUUCUGAUUAUUCUCUAGCUUUGCCAGUCAGAUCUGUAAUGGAUCUAUUUGCACUGGAAUUUUUAAAAGCUCAAAGUUUUUUCAAUUAGAUGGGUGGCUUUUUAACUUAUACUUUUUGAUAUUGAAGUUCCUGAGGUAGAUAAGUUUUAAGUUUAUGCACCAAAUGCAUGUACUGAUCCAUCAGUUUUUAAAGUUUUAUGUCCAAAGGAAAACUUCUAAGAUCAUUGUGUGUUGUCUAUGAUUUUUUUUUUAAAAGAUUUGAUUCUUUAAGUUUAUCAAUUCAUUGAUCUUUUCCCCAAUCAGAAGUUUUAGUAUUCAUUAGUAUUUUUACAUCUUGACAGGUAUGAAGUAUGACCUUGCAAGGCAAAUCAAGAUGAUAAAACUUGUUAACCAUCGGUGGUUGGAAGACUGGUAUGUCCUAGGCUUGAUUAUUUAGAACAUACACUUUAAAAUAUGGUUCCCUACUUAUCAUUUACAUGUUAUUGCUACUAUUCUGCUUGUGCUAUGAGCUGCUUCUUAAUACACAUAUUGUUUUCCCUUCCAGUUUAAGGACAUGGCAAAUUCUGCCGGAAGAUGACUACGACAAGAGGUUAGAGACAGAUAUGAAUCCAUUUAACAUUUUAUGAGGUUUGCAUUUGGUUGACAUGAUUUAUCCUCAACAUUUGGUUGCCACACUUUAAUUCUAGCAUCUUGUAUAUGAUUGUUAAUUAACACGUGGAAGUGAAAAGAAAAGGAAAAUGACAAAUUUGCAAAUAUUUUCUGACUUGUAUGUUACUUCUCCAUCUUUUCAGUGGAUAUGAGCUGGACAUGAUGGAAGCUCAAGCAAAGGAUUCUGAGGAUGAAGCUCAAGACAUGGACACAGAGCAAACGAGAGGGAAGGGUAUGGUUUCAACUUCUGGAUUAUUGUCAGUUAGCAAAAUGGAGGCAAAACCUGAUCAAAUUUCUCGGGAAGGAACUCCUGUCAGGCUUCUUGAGGUGCCUGGUUCCUUUGUCCCUGGUACAGCGGGGAAAAUUUGCACUGAGUUAAAUUCAAUGGGUAGAACACCACUUCCAGAAAAUGUUAUAAGUGACUUCACUUCUGCUUCUAAAGUUGAUGAGAAAUCACCUAGUCCCAAUGCAUCCAAGUUCACCGCUCUAAGUUUUUCCAGAAAAACACCAAGGAAAGCUAUUCUUCCUGUAGAAUCAGUGCAAACUGAAAGUAAAGCUCAAAUUUCUGUUAUUCGAGAUUUUGAUAAUAAAGUUCAUGUUAGUGACAGCUUUAACAUGUCUUCUUGCAAUAUGGAUGUGGAUGGAACUACUUCAAAUGAUAAAAGAAGUCCUCUGAAGGAAAUUUUAUCAUGUCCAGAUGAUGGGAGGAGUGAUAGUUUGUCUGAGAAGAGAAAGGUGGCCAUUUUUGUGGGCAGCUCCAAAUUACAAAGGACCGACAAUAAUUUGGAUGUCAGCUCAGAUGGUGUAGUUGUCAAUAGAACUGAAGAACGUCCACCCGAACCUUCAAUGAACGAACUGCUGAAGGUUUCUGGUCAUUCUCCUGGGAAAAAAUCCGGUUAUGCAGACACUACAACUGAUUUAAAUCCUUUGAAAAGUUCUCCAGCUAAGGUUUUUAGUCCUAUCACAUCUGAGAUAGAGCAAGUAUGCAGCAAGAUAGCACCUCAAAUUUCUUCUGAAAAGAGAAAUAUCACUUGCACGGAUAGCGAUCCAGAAGUUAAAGAUCUUCAUUCUAAUAGACCUGAAAAUGCAGUUAAUGAUUCUACAAUGGUACAGAAUGGGUUGCAAGAUGAAGCCCCACCUCCUGAAACCAAAGUACAUGAAGUUGAAAGAUGCAAUCCUAUGGUUGGGUUGGACGUUCCUGGAGGAGAGGCCAGCACUCGGUCAAAACCACUCAAAAGAAAGCUGUUGGCUAAAAAAACUCUGGGCUCUAGACCAAGUUUUGGUAGAGGGAAGGCUCUCAAUCAAAAAGGUUCCAUACAUAUUAAAGAAAAGGGCUCAGCAAAAAAUCAUUCGAUGAGCCCUUUAGGGCAGAAUGAAACUGAGGAACCAAUGAGGUUUAUUAGUACUGAAAGAGUUAAAGUGGUCCAUCCAACUUUUGAUGCAGAGAUGGACGAAGAUGCCAAAAUGGCAAAUGUUUUAGAAUCCAGAAAUGAAAAGGCAUAUAAAACUAGAUUUGUAGAUGAUGAAACUGAAGCUACAGAGAAUGUGGAGGACAAGGAAUUCGAUGCCAUUAUAGAUAACGACAAGCCUGGUGACAUUGAUGUACCAAAUUCAGUCCCUACGAGGACGGGAGAAAAGGUAGGUGUCCAAAACAAACAAACUGCUGAUGACAUUCCAGGUGUUGAGGAACAGGUGGUGGAUUCUGGUGAUGACAAGUUAAUGAGCGAAGCUGAAAAUGCUCCUGGCAAGAAAAAUGAACAGAGUGAAUCAUUACUCAGGGAUAAUUCUAAAGGGGAGCGCAUAACUAGUGGCAAUAAGUUUCCUUCAACCAAAACUAGGAAAAAGAACAUUCCUGUAGAAAAUUCUGGGAAAGGUGACCAGAGGAAGGAGGCCAAAGAUGAAUUGAGUGGUAAAAAGGCUAAAACAAGGAAUGCAAAGGGCUUUGAAGUUAAAGUAGAUAAGGACAUUAUACCAGCACAAGUGGGCAUGGCAGAUAACUCCAUGGAAAUGGAAAAGGAGAACACACCUCUUGAGAUAGGAAGCAUAAAUGUGAAUAAUACUAGUAAAAAGAUGGUUGGAAUGUCGACCCGAAAAUCCAAUAUUAAGCCCCAGAAGAAUGAUGGUGAAGAUUCUGGUUCAAAGUCAGUGGCACAGAUUAUAGUGAAAACAGAACCGAUUUGGUUUAUAUUAAGUGGGCAUAAGCUACAAAGAAAGGAUUUCCGACAAGUGAUUCGGCAUUUGAAAGGAAGAGUUUGCAGAGAUUCUCACCAGUGGUCAUAUCAGGCAACGCACUUUAUUGCUCCAGAUCCACUACGCAGAACUGAAAAAUUUUUUGCUGCUGCAGCAUCUGGAAGGUAUGGCCUUGUUUUAGUACGUUAGUUUCUUGCUAGAGUGAGUUAUUAUAUAAGUUUAGCCUUGGAUGGAAGAGAAGGUUCACUGUUUAUUUGAUUGCCUGCUUUCUCGGACUUCCCAAUAUGAAUAUUUCUCCGAAACAUCCCUUGGAUUUGCAGGUGGAUUCUGAAGACUGAUUAUUUGAGUGCUAGUAAUGAGGCUGGAAAGUUUUUGGCUGAGGAGCCGUAUGAAUGGCAUAAGAAGGGGCUGAGUGAAGAUGGUGCAAUCAACUUGGAAGCUCCAAGGAAGUGGCGCCUCUUGAGGGAGAGAACUGGGCAUGGAGCAUUUUAUGGAAUGCGUAUAAUUAUUUACGGGGAAUGCAUUGCACCUCCUCUGGUAUACUCUUCUCUUUCUGUUAUUUUAUUGUGUUAGUAGCAUCUUAUACCAUGGAAGUUGAUUUUUCGUGUGCUAUUAUCCCCUAAUUCCAAAGUUCUUUGUUGCCAGUUAUUUUUCAAGAUUUUCCUUUUCUACUGACUGCCUGGAACUGCGUCAAAAUUUCUCUCAUUUUGCCCUAAAUUAGGAUACAUUGAAGCGCGUUGUGAAGGCUGGAGAUGGGACCAUUUUGGCAACUUCACCUCCUUAUACUCGUUUCCUUCAAUCAGGAGUCGACUUUGCUAUUGUCAGUUCUGGGAUGCCUCGUGUUGACAUUUGGGUUCAGGAGUUCUUAAGAAACGAGAUACCCUGUGUUUUAGCUGAUUACUUGGUAGACUAUGUGUGCAAGCCUGGGUACUCGCUUGAUAGACAUGUACAAUACAACACGCUUGCUUGGGCAGAGAAGUCAUUAAAGAACCUAGUAACUCGCAUGGAAGAAGUCGUUGAGAAUCCUACUUCAGAGGAAAAUGAUGAUGACAUAGCAUGUCAAGUGUGUGGUUCUUGUGGCAGGGGAGAGGUAAUGCUCAUUUGUGGCGAUGAAAAUUGUUCCUCUGGUUGUGGUAUUGGUACCCACAUUGACUGCUGUGACCCUCCGCUAGAAGAGAUUCCACAAGAAGAUUGGUUUUGUCCGAACUGUAGGAACAAAAACAGGCAAAAUGCUCAAAAGAAUUCUAGGAAACCCAUCUCUAGGUUAAAGCGAAAGUGAUUGCUUUAAUUCGCUCCUUGUUUAAUAAUAUUAAGUUCCAAUAAAUCAAUUUUGUAGAUUCUUGUCGAGUGUGUCACCUUAGUUUCCAAAGCAGCUGCUGGCCUUGGUGCUAACCAUUUAAUUUCUUUUAGCCCUUUCUAAAUGUAAUUGGAAAGUGUAGGUCUCGUACUCAAAAAACUAUUUGAGAUAUUUUAGUUGUAUCAGGUGGCCUUGGCAAAGGGGUUGCAUAAUUUCCACACAAGACUAGCAAUGCAGCUGCGGAUUGAGUAGCAAAGCAGGAACAGGUGUUACAAAGUAUCCUGUUCCAGAAUGUAUGUGCUACGAAAUGUGGCUUCAUUCCUCCAUAGGAGUAAAUCCUGUAACGUCCUAAAAGAGUAAAAGAUCCACUAGAGGCAUGCCCUACAGGAAACACAUGCUAAAUGCUUUUCUACAUUUCUGUAUUUGUACAAAUUUUAUGAUUAAAAUGUUGUUUUUCCUCAUCCUGCUCUCUUGCCAUGACUCGUAGACACGGCUGAAAGAACCAUACAGGUCUACAACAAUCCAACAGCUUACAAGAAUACUGGCCUGCGCUGGACCACAAAACAAGCCACUCUUGGCAGCUCAAAUAAUAUAAAUAUGUUCCAAACAAGAAACAGAGUUCAAAAGCUGAUUACGAACAACUCCUUGGCAAAACCAUAUCAUCAAUGAACUAAGAUUUGAAAGAGGUGAUGAGAAACAAUUUUCCUGUGAUUUGAAAUGUUUGAAUGCGACAUGAUGAGGAUGAUGAGAAAAGGUUUUCCCUGUGAUGUGAAAUGCUGAUUAUGACAUGCAGUACGCCUUUGGGGAAAAUUUUUUGUCAUCUCGCUUUAGCUCCUCAACUCUUGGCGCCGGCUUAUUGCGAAAGGGGUAUGGUCCUCAUAGAAAAUUGGCCUCAACUCAAUAACUUGUCUGCACCUUUCCAACUUAUGCCAAGUUGAUCAUGUCGUUUAGAUCACUGGCAUGUUGCUCGCUGAUUUCUUAAAAGACAACAAAGGAGAGAUGCUUGAUAACCCAAAAUGUGCACCAAGCAUCAAUACAGAGCAGCAAAGCCAUUCACAAGUGUGCCAGUGCCAGGAUAAUGUCAGCUAAGCACCACAGUUUGACUGAGUACUUGCCGCUAUUCCGAUAUCUUAAAAAGUUUUCUUCUCUGCGAAAGCUAAAUCCCCAAAAGUAGAAGGUUUCCAUAACGGCGAGAGCGCGACAACCUUGCCAAUCAUAAUUAGAGUAGGUGAUACCAGCUGGUGCAAAGAAAUCUCCUUUGAAAGAUCCUUCAGUUCUGCAAAUACCUGUAUCAGAGAAACAGGUCCUUUAAUUUCAAUUGACAAAAAUUUUAGGUUUUGAAAUUUUUACCACUCUAUUUUCUCAAGUAUCUUAAUCAAAUUUGCAAUGAACUCAUUCAAUAUGAAAUACGUUCAUGCAGCCAUAAAAUAGAGGAAUUCAAUCACCAAUGAUGUUUACAAAGGUCAUGGACAAGAAGAAACUAUCGCAACUGGCUAUUGCCUUUAGAAUUAUUUCCUGUUCAUUAACAUGAGAUUCACUUGCAUGAUUUCAUAGUUGAACAUGUAGUUUCAUGGUUGUAGCUACACUAACUAAAAUACAGAAGAGGACACAUUUAUGCUAAUACCCAAAAGUUCAAAUGCAAGUGGCCAUUUCACAAGUAAGGAAGAGGUAUGUGAUGCUAAAAUGCUGACGAGAAACAAGUUGCAAUGGUGCAUCGGAGAGUGUGCAACAUCAAUGUGAUAAAUAUACAGCAAUGACUCAUCUUGUACUUGCACAACAUGAAUUCUGAACUUAAUAUGUGCAGCAGCCAACAUCCAUUAUAGGGAUGCUUACAGAAAUAUGCAACUCAGCUUAAUUUUUUCCCACACUUAAAGAUGUUUAUACAGUACUUCAAAAGUACUCUCCGAAAGCUAUGCACAAGGCAGUUACUUGGAUCUUACUCAAUGGUGAUAAAUGUAUACAACUCAAACUAAACUGACAGGGUAUUUUAAGAUGAAAAUGUAGAACUUACCGUGCGCUGUUGGGGAGUGGUGCCACGCUCAACUGCAACAGCUGGAGUAUUAGGUGGCAAACCAUGGCACAUCAAUUUUGAGGCAAGGGAAGGUAACGUUGACAAACCCAUGUAAAUAACCAGUGUAGAGUCAGGAUCCGCUGCACUCUCCGCUACAAAUAGAGGAUCUGUUCCUCCAUUUUUUGAAUGGCCUGUUAGAAAUCUCACACUAUUUGCAACACCUCGAUGAGUCAAAGGUAUCCCCAGCUCAGCAGCUAUACCUGAAGCAGAGGUAAUACCUGCAAAGGAUAGAGUGCAAUGAGCUGAUGCAAUAUUGUUUUCAUACUUAUAACUCUGUUUUAUAUUGUUGCACCAAAUACUACCCAAAAAGAACCAGAAUGGAAUUGCUACACAUCAUUAACCAACAUGAUUUUAUUGCAGUUGCAAUUGGUUACAGACAACUAUAGACAGAAAUAAACAUGAAACUUGCAUAAGGUGUCCAAGUCCUAUCACUGGUAUUUAUACACCACUUUUCAACAUUAAUAGGAAGUAAUAUACUGUGGUUUUCUCUCAUAUACUAACUUGAUGACCCAUUUUAUACUGUGAUAAAAAAGGAUUGGGAAAUCUUUGAAUUCUCUAAUAAAAUUGGAUAUGAGACUACAAAAAUUCAGCCCAUUAGCACUACCACUGAAGUCAGAUAUACUCACAUUGUAUUGACUUAAUCAAGUCUAAAAGAGAACAAGCUUUCUUUCUUAUGAUUCAUAACGAAAUGAUUCAAAACUGUCUCUUCUUAACAUGUUUCUCUGUCUUAGGUUCAGAAAUACGUCGUCCCCAUUGUACUUUCUUGUUAGGAUGAUUUACAUGUAAACACUUCAACUUCUCAACUAACUGUCAGAUCUUGUCAACCAACAUGUAAGAAUUUUUAAUCGCCCUCAAGGUGAGCGAGGUUAAAGUGCAGAUACGAAACCUCAAGGUGCAGAUAUGAAACCUAGCGACAAUAUGAAAAAAUAAAAGCAAAAAAGCAUUAUAGCAAUGUGUUUAAAAGUAUCUUUAGUCGUGGUACCCGGAAUGAUUUUCACUGCAAUUCCUUGUCGCUGUAGGAAAUCCAUCUCCUCUCCACCCCUACCAAAAACCUAUAUAACCCAAGAUACAUUUCAGUUAACCAUUUCUGAUUGCACAUAUGAAAUCCAAUUACACUGACACAGUUAUGCCCAAGUGUAAACUUCUGUUUUCAAUCAACCAGAGCAUGCAAAAAGUGCAAUUUGACCAGAGAAUGUGUGAUACAAUCUUACCAAUGGAUCUCCACCUUUAAGUCUAACAACAGUUGCCCCGGCUUCAGCAAAACUUAGAAGUAACUCGUGAAUUUCCUCCUGCAAAAUUUGUCUAUUAUGAAUAUUCUUGUCCCAAAAGAACAUUUCGCAUUUGUAACUUCUCAAUCUAUCAAAGCACAAGAACCUUCUUCAUUGUCAUAUGAUCUAUUUUAAAUGAAUAUCAUCACGUUUUACCCUAAAAGGAUGUCUCUUAUCAUUCACUGAUUGCUUUUACACAAUGACGUCUGUAUUGCUAACGAGUGGUGUCUACCAUAGACCAGCAGAAUAUUUGCUACAGAACUGGUAAGGUCCAAUUUUGAAACCUAUUAGUAGAUGUUAAAGGAGGAUUUCUCAUCCCCUGUAAAUCUAUUCUUCCACUGUCUAUCUGAAAAAAGACAGACUACAGAUUCACUGCUCCCCUUCGCUUCUGAAACAUUCUUCAAUGUAGUUAAGGCAUACAAAAUCCCAAGUCCCAGUAUAAACAAAAGCAAAACACAAAGCAAAUAAAGCAUUACAUAAACCAAAAAGGCAAAAACAAAGUUCAAUUCUCGUUAAAGACCAAUACAAACAGUGAAUCUCCUAAAUCACGAAAUGCACCUCAGUAGUAUCAACUCUAAGCGACCUCAAUUUACAAAAAAAAAAAAAAAUCAUAUUCCAAAUGAGAAUGCAAUAUUCAACACCUAAUUCACUCAUCUACUCAUCUGUAUCAACAUCCCACGUCAAAGUCGAGUAUAAUGCCCCAAGAAAACCAUGUAAUUAAUCUCAGAAAUUAACUGUGCACUUUCUCAGUUCAUAAAAUUUUCAUCUUUACCCAAAUUCCCAAAUCAAAAUUGAAACGUUAACACCCAAAGAGUUCACUCAAACGGGAAAAAAAAUUUUUUGGGAGGAGUUAAACUAACUUCAAGGCAAAGGAUUCUUACCUGAGUUCUGCUAUGGUACCCUGCAGUCUUGCCAACAUAGAGAAGUCUAGCAUCAGGGCUAACCAAAUCCAAAACGUCAUUAGAAACCAACCUAUCAUACAACAAAAGAUCAGCACUUUGGAUAACCCUCAAGGCCUUAAUCGUCAACAAUUCAGGGUCCCCUGGUCCUGUCCCCACCAAAAACACGUUCCCGGGUCCUCUUUUUCCAAUUCCAACUUCAUUUUCCCUUUUCUCCUUCAAAACCUGAAGCAAUUUCUUCAGCUCUGGGAGCUGGAGAGCAAUGUCAUAGUCCCUGAUGGAGCUGGAAUCAGAUGGGAGUGGACAAAAAGAGGAUUGCUGCUGCAAUUUGGUGCUGGUAAUGUUCUUGUACAACCAAUUAUCCCUUUGGUACCUCUCAAUUGAAUGCUUUUCAGUAAAUGGUGAAGUGCUGCAUUGUAUGUAAGAAACUGGAUUAACGGAAGAAAUUUUGGGUUUUCGCAAAUGGGUUCUUGAAGAGGAAAGAGAUGGAAGCCUACUCACUAGGGCCAUAACUGUUAUUGAACCAAAAAAAAAAGCAAAAAUGGGUAUCCAAACCCAAUCUUGAAAUGCUCUCUCUCUGGGUUUUCCAGUUUCCACUUUAUGCAUGUUUAUAUGGAGUUAGGGGUUGAAUAGGAGUCAACAUUUUGAGCUUUUUGGAUGCUGAGAAGGCAGGUUUUUAGCAGCUUUUUGAGGUUUUGAAAAGGGACAGGUUCCUUUUGAGUUUUGGUGACCUGGGGUGUAUUCUUGCGUACCGAAACAAGGGCUUCCUAAAAUUUAUUUAUUUUUGAUGUAGGAGGGGAAUUGAGAGCCAAGAACACUCACUUUUGUCUUUAUUUAAAGACGCAUUUCAAUUUGCCCCUCAUCAACUGGUUGGUUCACACCCUUGCUUGAAAUUUUCAAUUUUUUCAGUCUGAUAAAAAUUAACCUAGCAAUAUCCGCUGAUUGUAUCCCAUCUGAUCAUGUAAGAUGUACAUUUUAUAACAAUGAAAAGGACAAAUGUGUCUUCUAUUAUUGUGAAGAUGUAUAUAUUUUUGCUACAUAUGGUGAAGAAUCAAACAAACAAUGAAUAUAUGCUCAGUAAAAUUUCUAUUUGGGAGAAAAAUUGACACUUUUUGCAAGAAGUGCACAUGAUAUUGACGGAAUCAGCAUCAAUUCGGAAUUUAGUUGGAUGAUUAUAAUUCAUACCCAUUCAACAAAAUUGUAGAACCUAAAGUGAGGGGCGAAUGGACCCAAUUGGACAAUGAGGAGGCCAAGGUGAGAUGCAUGUAAUUUUUGAGGGGCUCUUAUGUUAUUUUGUGGAGUACUUAAAAAAAUGGGAGCCGCAGGAAAAACCAGUCAAACACAAAAGAGAAUUUGUUCUCCACCAUCCGGUUGAAGCUGCCUGAAUGUGCUUAUCUUUUUCCCUUUUUUUGCUUUUCUUGGUGGAUUGAAAUUGUGUGCCGUAGAGAGACCUGACUCUUGGAAGCUGCGGAGAGAAGUUUUUCUAAGGAUGAGAGGCGGCUAUGUGCUUUGGCUUCAUCUGCUUGUUUGGAAUUCAUAUAAAAAAAAAAGAAAAAAAAAUAGACAAGUUGCAAACUUUUCAAUUUACUACUACUUUAGAUUAACAUUGAUUUGACAAAAAAAAAAAAGAGGAAUGAAAGGAACCAGUAAGUGUUAAAAGAGAGGAACAACUAGUAUAUGGAUGUGACUUUGGUUGCAUGCAAAUUAAUUAGAAUUAAAUUUCUCUUCUUUUUUUUUUUUACCAAAUUUGAUACCAUUAAAAUGGUCAAGAAAACUUUUCCCGGUUCUUGUACAAUUUUUUCUUGCAAAACUUAAAAUGAAAUCUGGCCCUAAGUAGUACAGAACAAUGGAAGUUGAAUAUUAAGGAUGGGGGGUCCUGAUUGUGUUUUGAGACGUACAUAUUUUGCCAAGCAAUGGCCCCCUUUUGCAUUCAAAUGAAAACGUCCAAAACAAAACACAAUUGAGUUGCACAAUUGACUUAACUCAUUACGUAGCAUUACAGCUUUCCAUGGUUCUUGAGUGUGCACCAGCCCAACAUUAAGCCUAGCUAAUUAAUGAAAAGAAUUCAUCUAUAAAAAGUGAUUAAAAUCUCGCGACAUUUUCUAAUCAUUAAUAUGAAUAUAAAAUCGAGAAGGUGGAACAUCAAUUAGUUUGCAUCUGUCGCAUGCGUAGGAUUUUCCUAACUGAGGAUGCUUACCGAAGUUCUUGAUGGUACAAAAAUCAAAGGUUCUUGAUUGCAUACAAAUGCACAUCCACUGCCUCAUUCUUUGCAGUUGAUGUAUUUGUGCUCUUUUUACUGAGAAAGAUUUUGACUUUCGAGUGCGGAAUUGUGAGCUCUUCGGGCAGAUGUACUGUGUGUUCUUUUCCCUUAGAAAGAUUUGAGUGCGGAAUUUCGCAAUUGCACAUUACAGUUAUGUUCCUUACAUAACUGUACUUCUUUCUUCUUGCACUAGAGCCUAUUCAACUUCUAGUUCCUAUUCCUAUCCAUACACCACUAGCAUCACAAUUUGAAGCAAGAAAACACCUAACAAUUUGGCAUUUUGAAUGUGUAUUAAUCAAAAAGUUGAAUGAGGUUCUGUAUGAGAAACAUGCUGAAUUCUGCGCCCCUGGAUCAGCUCCAAUUUGAGCCAUCCAAUUCAAUUUUUUUUUAACCAAUGAUUUUUUCUUUUCUAUUAUCAAAGUUGAUUACCCAAAUCUGAACCACAAGUCGGAUCCUGUAACUGUAGCUCGAAGACAUCAAAGAAAAAACAUGUUAAAAAAGAAGAAGCCAUGCCAGUGACCUCUUCCCUUUCCCUUUGGACAUUUCUUCAGUCUUCAAUGUUCAUCUUUCAGUCUUGUAUACUACAGAUAAUAUAUAACACAACCCUUUAUUGACUAUAAUCGAGGGAAUUGCGAAUUGAGAGGGAAAUAAGAGGCAACAAUUGGAGCUCUGGAAGGCUUUGAUCUUUCUUCAUUAUACUCAGUAUUGGGUGUUGAAGAGGAAGAGGAGGCCAACUUUCCCUUGCUUUUGCCUGCAUCAUCUGAUUCUGGUGAGACCUUGGAUUCGGAAUUUGAAGGCAAGAAGGCAUCUGCAAAUGAAUGAGAAGCCAUUCAAGUGUUUGGACCAAAGCUAGUUGCUUUCUUGCCUGAAGCCUUGAACUUGUAUGAUGAAUAGAAGGCUUGCUUAUUGGAAUUAUAGAACGUGGACAAUUGAUAAUCUUGAUGAGGAAGGAAAAGAGACGUUAUGUUGGAAUCAUUUUAUCAAUUUUAAGAGACACUACUGGCUCUUUUGCAGCUCCUCAGCUUCUUAUAUACUCGACAAUUUUUGUGGAAAUGUGCCAUUUCACGUAGAUUUUUUUCACCUCCCCCGUGGAAAAAGCAAAGCGUUACAACACAUCUUGAAAUAGAUAAAAGCGUUACUAUUACUUGAUUACAAUCGAGAGGACUGAGAAUAGAGAGGGAAGUUGGAGACAACAAUUGGAGCCCCGGAAGAUUGUAAUCUCUCUUUACAAUUUUCAUCAGAUUUUGAUGCUGAGGAGGAGGAGUAAGAGGGUAAUUUUGCCUUGCUGUUUCGAGCAUCAUCUGAUGAGGCCUCGGAUUUGGAUGAUGAAGGCUAAACGAGAAGAAAGCCGUUCCUAUUUCAUGUGAUGUAGCAGCACUAGAGCAUAUUACUGGGCUGGUUUUUGCUUUCGCCGGUGCAGUACUUUUGAAAGUUGGCUUAGCAAUAAACAAGAUGAGGGAAUCCUUAACUGGGGAGCAAUGGAUUUGAUGGUUUGGCGAGGGAAUGUAAAUAAGAGAUUUCGGAUUCAAACUCUUCUAUUAUAUAAUUGAAAAAAAGUUAAAAAGAGAAAGAUAAGGGACUCCUUGAAAAUAUUGUACAGUAUCACAAAUGUGGGUUGUUGAAUCUUUGAAGUUGUAAAUGUACAGCUUUGUUUAUAUAGAGAAAUUAAAUUAUACGUAGUAGAUAAGUGAGGAAGGAAAGCCAGCAGGGCACCAUAUUAAAUCGUUCUUGGUGACCUACAUUGGAAACUUUUUACCUAUUAUUAAACACGUUUUGACCAAUACUAGUAUAGUCACAUUCAUAUGUACAAGUUACUGUCCCGUUUGGAUUGUGUUUUUCUACCAAAAACACUUUUAUUGUUUUUUGUGAAUACACCUUUUACACAAUCUUUAAUUAGCUAUUUUCAUAUAUAUUAUACUCUAAAAAAGUGCUAUAGUAAUUUUUUUUUUUUUUCUAUAAACUCCUCAAACGAUUUCUGUGCAUAACUUGAACUUAUUUCUAUUAAUACCACUUGUUUUUUGGGGUGAAAAAAAAAAUAAUGGUCAAACCCUCGAAUUCAACAAAUUUAAAGUUCAAAAAGAGCUUAUCAUAUUCAUCUGAGAUAAUAGUUUAUAAUAGGAUUAACGUUUUUCGAAGUUGAGUAGAAAAUUUUUUGAUAACGAACGUCACAGAACUAUAUAUAGAAAAAACCCGAAUCCGAAUGGUAGAAAUGAAGGCUCCAUGGACGAUGGAUGUAGAGGAGCAACGGUGCUAUAAUAUUUCAUCACUUGUCCAAUUAAAAAUGAGGCUCCUUGGUUUCGCAAAUGUAUGCGAUUUGUGGGGUGUUGUCCCCUCUGAUGACUUUGGAUCUCCCGUCUCAGUCAAAGCACUAUCUUAGCAGAACCUUCAUUGUCGUAUGUCCCGCGCUCGUUGAAUUAAGGCCUUAACUGGAUUGUAGUUUUUUUUGCAGAAAAAUUUUGGAGAAAAAUUAAGGGAGCCAUCUGUGUCAAAAGGUCCGAGAUUCAUUUCAAAAAGCAGGAAUGCCAGAGUACGUAGUUAGUCCACAUGUCCCUCACUACCUUGAUUCUUCUGAUUGGAUUGAUUUCUGUGACCAUUGUUUAGGGAGCUAACAUUGGAUCACAGGCCUCACAGGUUCCGGUUCAAAGCAAUUGAGGGUAGAACGGAUAUUUUCUGUUUUUGAUACUAUCAUAAUCUAAAGCUUUGUUUGGAUUGCAUUUUUCAGGACUUUUUAUAAAAAAAAUAACUGUAGCGAUUUGAUAUAUAUAACAUAAAAAGAUGAUCGGAAAAUGUAAAAUUGCAAUCCAAACAUUUGUUUACAUCUUAUUUAAUAUUGGAUCACAGGUCUCAUAAGUUCCACUUCAGAGCAGUAGCGGGUAGAAUGGUUAUUUUCUGUGUUUUGUACCGUAAUCUUAUUUGGAUUCAUUUAUAUUAGACUUCAGCUAAUUUAUGCUUCAGGAGCGAACUGGUUUAAAUUGGAAAUUGUGAGCCCCGAUCCUCUAACAUCGCCCUCCCCUUUCAAAGUUUUAAAAGGCACUCCACCUGAAAUCUUUUUGCCUAAUCAAUGGUUCAAUAAGCUGAACUGGGCAGAGCUGCAUGCCUCUUUUUCCAACACAAAAUGAGAUCAAAGUGUUGCUGGAGCUGGUUGUGCUAGCUUUUUAAGGGGUUGUGCUAUCUGACAAUUGGUGUAUUUUCAUCCCCAUUAGAGAGGUGAGAAGAUGAGAUCAGAAGGCUGAAGAUUGAAAAAUAAGAAUUUAGGGGCUGCAAUCAUUAACAGAUCAAGAGGUUCUGCUAAAAGAACAAAUGAAUGUGAAUGGCUUCUCACUUUUUAGUAUCUACUGUAAAAAAUAAGAAAGUGCAUGAAAUGAAUUAGUGUGUACUUUGGUAAAAGUACCGGAGUAAAAUGGGAUUAUGAAGAGAAAAAAAGUGCCAAAGUUAGCAAUUUAUCAUAAUAUCAAGUGCAAUUUAGUUUGAACAUGUAACUCCUUGAUUGGAAAGCAACUUUCUUCCAAAAAUUUUUAUAUUUUUCGUGAACACAUUUCCCAAUCACCUUUUUAUGUCACAUAUAUGAAAUCGCUAUAGUAUGUUUUUCUACUAAAACUCCAGAAAAUUGCAAUCCAAAUAGGAAUAAAUUUCUUUGCAUAAUAAACUGAAAAGAAAGAAAAGAAAACCAUCUGGUUCGUAAGGUAGGCAGAUUAUAAGUUUUGGUUUAGAAGGUAAAAGACCUCAUCUCAAGCUUUUAGGGGUUGGCUUCCACUUGACUAAAGCCAGGUUCAAGUCGUGUCAGCAGCUGAAAAAUGCAAGAGUGGUUUGCUUUGGCAUUGAAAUGGAAUAAGCUUCCCCACCCAAAUUUUUGUUUAUGCAUUAUCUUACAUCCCCCCCCACAAAAAAAAAAAAAAAAAACUCGUCCUGAUGACAAACGAAAUCAUAGUGGAAAAGCUCAUAUCCCAACUAUUCUUUUAUUAGCUUUGAAAACGAGGGAAAAGACUGUAGGAAACUAUAUAGGUUGGUGAAGUCUAAUUUUCACAAGAAUACAGCUGAAGCCUACGAAUUUUCCAAUUGAAAGAAAUACAAUUGUAUAAGUUAUUGGAUCGGUCGUCCCCAUCUGGCCUAUGUAUCAUGUAGGGCCAAAUGCUGACCCUAGUUCUUCUUAGUACAAACCAAAGACAGACAGACAGACCAUUUAAACAAUUCUUCUUCACAGAGUACAUGGCUCUUUGCAGCUCCUCUUCCCCUCUACUUGCGGACAAAUUUUGUAGAAAACGUAACAGUAGUACUUAACCUUGCGAUUUGAGGGACUUUUUCACUUUUUCCUUAGGAAAAACAAGCUUAUAUCUUCAAGAACUAAAGCUGCAGCGCGCCAUGCGCAUGCAACAAUAUUCUUCAAAAAGUCGACAACGGGAAUCAGAACAAACAUUUAUUAGAUUACAAUCGAGACGGCUGCGAAUAGAGAGGGUAGUAAGAGGCAAUAAUUGGAGCUCCGGAAGAAUUUGAUGCCUCUUUACUAGUGCUACUUUUAUCCGAUUUUGAAGCUGAGGAGGAAAGGGGAUUUGCCUUGCUUUUGCCAGCGUCAUCUGAUUUGGAUGAUGAAGGCAAGAAGCAUCUGCAGAUGGAGGACAAGAAAGCCAUUAUUAAGUUCUAGCUGCUAUUUUUUCUUCCCUUGAACUUGUAAAGGCUAGCUUAGCUUUGAAAAGUGAAAGACAAAAGGUUCAAGCUUUCAAGAGGCUCUCAUGAAUAUCCUAUACUAUGAUGGAUAUGGGGCAGAUGUAAAUCUUCUGUUUAUAUAGAGAAAUGAAAUAAUGUGAUAAAUUGCUAAUCUUGCUGAGGAAGGAAUGAAGGAGAAUUUUUUGCUUUCUUGGUGGUGGGCUC
rnacentral:lncRNA from 1 species